UCUAUUCCUCAGAAUUUAAAA
ensembl:piRNA 21ur-5452 ncRNA